AUUGAACGCUGGCGGCAUGCCUUACACAUGCAAGUCGAACGGUAACGCGGGGCAACCUGGCGACGAGUGGCGAACGGGUGAGUAACGCAUCGGAACGUGCCCAGUAGUGGGGGAUAGCCCGGCGAAAGCCGGAUUAAUACCGCAUACGACCUACGGGUGAAAGAGGGGGAUCGCAAGACCUCUCGCUAUUGGAGCGGCCGAUGUCAGAUUAGGUAGUUGGUGGGGUAAAGGCCUACCAAGCCUACGAUCUGUAGCUGGUCUGAGAGGACGACCAGCCACACUGGGACUGAGACACGGCCCAGACUCCUACGGGAGGCAGCAGUGGGGAAUUUUGGACAAUGGGCGCAAGCCUGAUCCAGCCAUGCCGCGUGCGGGAAGAAGGCCUUCGGGUUGUAAACCGCUUUUGUCAGGGAAGAAACGCUCUGGACUAAUAAUCUGGGGUAAUGACGGUACCUGAAGAAUAAGCACCGGCUAACUCCGUGCCAGCAGCCGCAGUAA
rnacentral:rRNA from 1 species